CGCGGCACCCGGGUGUGGGUCCCAAGAUGGGAGCUGGGGAUGGGCCGGGUGCCGGGUGGCAGUCGGGGCUGGCGGCGGCGGCAACCUCGGGCCCUGGACACCUUCACCCCGCCGCCUGCCCAGGCGGGCCGGCCCUGCCCGUCCACCGGCCGCCGAGAGACCCCGGCCUUGGGCCCCCGGGGCCGCUGACUGGCCUCGGUCACCUCCCGGGGAAGGCUCCCGCGCCUUCAUCUGCCCCCGCAGGAAGGGACCGUCUUCUCGCCUGCGAGGCUUCUCCGGGUGGGAUCGUCCUGGCCCCCAGCCCUAAGGUAUCCGCCCCCUCCGAGCCUCCGCCGCCCCUCGGAGACCACUUCCGCUCGGACGGACCCACUCCAGCCACCGCUGCACGCGGAAGCGCUCAUCCUCCCCGCCUGCCCCUUUCCCUCCGCCUUCUUCUGUGGGACAACCAGGGACCACAGCUCCCCGCUCCGCAGGUGUGGGGGCUCCGACACGAACGCCUCUGCUUGCAGGGCAGUGAGCGCAGAUCCCACGGGUCCCUCGGUCGGGGGUCAAGGCUGCUUCCGUUUCCAUCUCGGAGCCGACAAUGGGCGGGAAAAAGAAGACUUUACACGACUACGCGGCGGAGUUCACCGACCUGGUGGUGAAGCAGCACCUGAUUGAGCACAGUAACUCUGGGGACACGUCUGUGGUGGAGACCCUUUACUGCAGGGCCUGCGAGCUGCCCAUGCGCGUGCGGAGGGACUGCAUCCUGGAACACCUGUCUUCGGGCAGGCACUGCAGGAACCGCAGACUCAUCCGACAGCACGGCCUGCGGACGCCCAUUCUCAUGUAAAUGUCAGUUGCCAACGCUGGUGUUUCAGGAGACAUCCCAGCGGGCUGCGGGCUAUUUUAGGAUUCUCUGCCCUGCAAACGUUUCCGAAGUAUGUGGACAGGCCGCCUGAUGACACUACGUUUACGGGAUCUGCUAGUGGCUUGCCCAUUUAGGGAGUAAACCCUGUGAAGUCUCGCCGUUUUGUUGAAGUGUGCGUGGCCACCUGAAUGCUGCCUUAUCACAAGCCAGAUACAUACUGGUCUGCAGGGUAACUCCCCACUGUUGAUCCUCUCAGAUGAUUGUGGACUGGGUGCUGUGAGUCCUGCCACUUUGUUUAAGUGAAUGUGCCUUUUGUCCAGCUCAGCCGCCUCGGAUCUCGCUGCCACCGGCCUUACUGCACACCCGUGCCACCCGCCCUUGCCCCGUCAGCCUCAGCCUCGGCUCAUUCUCUCAGGCAGUCCCAGCAUUGGCACAGUACCUCCUCCCACUGUGGGCCACACGUCUGUGCUCCCUGUCAACCCUACUGCCAUCAGCACCACCACCAGCGACUUGUCUGCCCAGGAGGAUGCAACACCAUCUACCUCCACCGGCCACCUUUCAGUGUCUCCUGCUUUCCAAGUAAAGACACCAGCAGUGCCCUCAGAGCAGACCAGCCAGAGAUUUUCUGAAGCCUCCCACAGGGUGCUCUCUGGAGGAGGCCUGAGAUGCUCUCGUGACUUUGGAGCCGGGGUGGCUGGCCACCUUGGCCUGGCCGGCCACCUUGGCCUGGCCAUCUUUGGGGUGGGCUUCGGGAGCCCGGCACUGCUGCAGAGUGUGGUGGAUGAGAACAGCUGCUGCUUGCUGUACGUGGUGGAGGACCAGCUGUGUGACGUGGAGCGAGCCUUCAGAGCUGAGCAUUUGGCCAAUACCAGAGUGGUUCGGGAACAGGAUGCGGACAUCGUCCUCAACCACCAGCGGCGCUUUGAUCCGGCUUUCCAGUUCUUGCACAAGCAAGUUUGUGUCAGCCACGCCCUGGGGAGGAUCCACCGGAUCACCGCAGUCAGCAGCCUGUUCCCAGCGGCCUCUCUGGCUUCCCUAAAGAGGGCAGCUUCCCUCCAGACCAGAAGCCAGAGCUCACUCUCCCUUGUGUCCAGGUGGGAUUUUCUACAACGCUGCUGUGCACGACGUGGAUGCCGUAUGCAUGUUGCUGGGGAAGCCACUCCGGACACUGUGUUUUUUCUGGGACGUGGCUUCUGCCCAGAUAUGGCCGCCUUAAAAGAUGCAGACGCUGUUGGGAUCAGCAUGAAGUUUCCCUGUGAGGCUGUGGUCAGCAUGGACGUCAGCCAGCACUGCACAGACAGCUGCGACCAGGACGUCAGCCAGCACUGCGCAGACAGCUGCGACCAGGACGUCAGCCAGCACUGCGCAGACAGCUGCGACCAGGACGUCAGCCAGCACUGCGCAGACAGCUGCGACCAGAGACUGGAGACAGGGUCUUGCCCUGUCACCCAGGCUGGAGUGCAGUGGUAUGAUCUCGGCUCACUGCAACCUCCGCCUCCCGGGUUCAAGCGAUUCUUUUGCCUCAGACUUCUGAGUAGCUGGGAUUACAGGCAUGCGCCACCAUGCUCGGCUAAUUUUUGUACUUUUAGUAGAGACGGGGUUUCACCAUGUUGUCCAGGCUGGUCUCGAACUGCUGACCUCGUGAUCCACCUGCCACGGCCUCCCAAAGUGCUGGGAUUACAGGCGUGAGCUACCAUGCUCGGCCUAAAAAACAAUUUUCUUGAAGAAUCUGAUUUUGUGCAUAGUAAUGAUACAGCACCAUUCCUGAGAAAAAGGAAAUAUAUGUGUGUGGUAUGAAAAGCCCAUAUUCUGUUCUUGCCGCCUGAAUCUAGGCUUCCUCUUUGGAUGUGAACACGGGAAUGAACAGUGGCUGUUUUCCACCCAACGGGGUGUGGAGAUCUUUUGGAAAUGGGCUUUCUCCUUUCCAUUUUGCAGCUGGGGGUGGAUGGAAACCUUCCUUCGAAGGGUAGUGACUUGGGGAGCAGCAGACCGGCUCCGAGUCCAGCUUAGCUUUCCAAAAUUCUGUGUGAAACCUACUGAAGAUGUUCUUAGAUAUUUGAAAAUAAUGGCCUGUAUUUCUCAUGCUAUACUUAAAAAAAUAACUAACCUUUUAAACAAAGAUAUUCAAACUCA
rnacentral:sRNA from 1 species